rnacentral:rRNA from 1 species
CAGGCCUUGACAUGCACUAGACUGACACUGAAAGGUGUUUUUCCUUCGGGACUAGUGCACAGGUGCUGCAUGGCUGUCGUCAGCUCGUGUCGUGAGAUGUUGCGUUAAGUCGCGCAACGAGCGCAACCCCUGUCCUUAGUUGCCAUCAGGUAAAGCUGGGCACUCUAGGGAGACAAACCCUCUCUGAGGGUGGGAAGGUGGGGAUGACGUCAAGUCAGGAUGGCCCUUACGGCCUGGGCUGCACACGUGCUACAAUGCCCGGUACAGAGGGAAGCAAGACCGCGAGGUGGAGCAAAUCCUCAAAACCGGGCCCAGUUCAGAUUGCAGUCUGCAACUCGACUGCAUGAAGCCGGAAUCGCUAGUAAUGGCGUAUCAGCUACGACGCCGUGAAUACGUUCCC